rnacentral:rRNA from 1 species
GACGAACGCUGGCGGCGUGCCUAAUACAUGCAAGUUGAGCGCUGAAGGUUGGUACUUGUACCAACUGGAUGAGCAGCGAACGGGUGAGUAACGCGUGGGGAAUCUGCCUUUGAGCGGGGGACAACAUUUGGAAACGAAUGCUAAUACCGCAUAAAAACUUUAAACACAAGUUUUAAGUUUGAAAGAUGCAAUUGCAUCACUCAAAGAUGAUCCCGCGUUGUAUUAGCUAGUUGGUGAGGUAAAGGCUCACCAAGGCGAUGAUACAUAGCCGACCUGAGAGGGUGAUCGGCCCCAUUGGGACUGAGACACGGCCCAAACUCCUGCGGGAGGCAGCAGUAGGGAAUCUUCGGCAAUGGACGAAAGUUUGACCGAGCAACGCCGCGUGAGUGAAGAAGGUUUUCGGAUCGUAAAACUCUGUUGGUAGAGAAGAACGUUGGUGAGAGUGGAAAGCCCAUCAAGUGGCGGUAACGCCCCAGAAAGGGACGGCUACCUCCGU